CAGGCUCAUUACAGCACAGUAAUCAAGGCAAAGUUUUCAAUCUGGGCCAAAACUAUGGACUUGACGUGAAUGAAUUCCACAGGCAGUUUAUCAAGACUGGAUGAUAGGACCUCAUUCUCUUGAUGGGACCAGUCUUCAAACCUUUCCAUCUUGGUAAGAGCUGCCAGGGCUUGGCUUUUCCUGGUCCAGCCUUCCAGAUCCCAGGGACAGCACCACAUCACAAGGAGGCAUUGGAGUAGGACUGAAGAGGAGAACAUUUAAAUUGAGUGAGGUGUUCCAGGUCAAGUGAGUCGCUCACACCGGUAGUGUCAAGUGUCUGAGGCCAGAUUUGGGGGAUAGAAUACAUAAACAGGUUCAAAAGGUGUGAUCUGAUGCAUAAGCUACUAGGAGUGUAUAUCACCAUUAAGUAGAAAGGCCCCAGUGCCACCUCUGAAUGGGAAGAAGCCCAUAAACAAAAUAUUCUGGAGGACAUCCCCAAAAACCUUUAAAACAUUGGGUCUGGAACUGGACUAGUGGCCAUAAAAGGGACAGAGGCAACUCUAGAAAUUGCCAGGUUCAAAAAGUGGGACCUGAUGCAGGAGCACCUGACAGUAUCAUCAUCAAGAAGCAGAGAAGCCCCCCCAGUGUCACAUCUCAAUAGGAAGAAGCCCAUAACCAAAAUAUUCUGGAGGACAUUCCCCAAUAUCCUUUAAAACAAUGGGUCUGGAAAUGGAAAAGUGGCAAUAGCAGGAAUACAGGCAACUCUAGAAAUUCCCAGGUAAAAGUUUUAAGGCCUCAGUUGCCAUGCUUAUAUACGGGGAAUUCUGCCUGCCUCAUAUCCAGUAUUAUGUCCCUGAUGAUCCACCCCAUCUAAGGACAGAAAGAUGGUAAAACUGGGGCCUGGAAAGGUUGGAAAUAGCAAAGAUGGGAUCCAAACAGAGGUCCUUCAUCCACCGAUGCUCUUUACAUUAUAGCAGGCUGCCUUUCUUUUUCCGCCCUCACUUCCUGAUGCCCAGCCGUGUCUCAUAAGGAUGGGUGAGGUUCACUGUAACGCUGUCAAAAAAGAAAGGGCUUUGGCACGUUGGCUGAAUUAUCCAUGGAAGACUGAAGAGUACCCACAAGAAACGCCUAGGACAAGAAGUAUGUUGGAAUUGGUACAGGUCUUCAGGAUUGGCAGCAGCUAAAUAUAUAUAGUGGAUGUUUGGGAACGGUCUCACACAAUUAAAUAGGAAAAAGGGAACUAAGUCUUAGGGGACUGGUGGUUCCAUUCGUUAAAGUGGGUAUACGUUCUCCACGGCAUAUUUGAAUGUUCCUGGAGCCCUUCUCUUUGAAAAGAAUCAUCUUGCACCUAACAAAGGUUUGAUUAAGGAUGGCCUUGAAGAAAGAGACUUGACAUCUUGGAGUGUUCUCUGCAGUUGGGGUACUCACACUAUGCAGCAUGGUGGAGUCCAUAUGGACACUUCAUAGUUGCCUUCGAGUUUCUACUUUCAUCUGCUUCCCUCUGAAGCCUUCUUGCAUCGGAUACAGAACCCUCGUUCUUUGAAUCUCAUUUAGGCCACAUUUAGGUAAUAGCCACUUCAUCAGAUUGGACAUCCUGUGACAUGGCACUGAAGGUCCCUGGAAAGCUGAUCAUUAG